rnacentral:lncRNA from 1 species
UGGCAGGCUCCUCUGGUGUGGCCCUUUCAGGCCGUCCAAGGGGACAGUAUGCUGUCACAGUGAUCCCUUUGGAUUGGCAAUAGUUGAUAAGCUUCUCCUGGGUGAGGUAUGGGUGACACUCAAUCUGGUUGUUUGCAGGCUUGUGUUUUAGUCCUGGCUUGUUCAAGAGUCUUUCAGUCUGCUCGUGGUUGAAGUUGGAGAUGCCAAUGGCUUUUAC